UAGAUGCUUCCCAAAAAUUGUUCCAAAAAUUCAAAAUUUACAUGUUCCAAUGAAAGUAAAAAGUGAAAAUAACUAAAAAUGAAAAUUAUUCUUAAAAUACAAAAAAUGAUUUCCAGCAGUUCAACUCUUUUCUUCACUUUGGGAUCCUCAUCAUCUCACCGGCUCAAUUGUCUUCUGUCCACUCUCUUGACCUGUCUGCUGUAUGGUGCUUCAAUUUCCACAUCCCCUUUUUCUUUCAGCUCCUUUAUUAUCCAUCCUUCCUUUUAUAUUUCACUUUGCUCCCCCGUCGGAGUGGUUCUUCUCUUGCUUUUGGGUGAAUGAUUCUCCUGCUUUUAUUCACUAGUGCCUGCAAAACAUUACAACUAUUAGAAUAAUUAGUAUCCGACGUGCUCUCUUCUUUACCUCCACUAACGUUGAACUCACUAUCCUCUUCUAUUUCCUGGCUUUCUUCUUUUGCCUCAGCACCUACCAUCUCUUUGUCUUCGUCUUCACCGCUCCCCUCAUUGAUUAGAUCAUCCUUAGCCCUUUUUUUUUCUUACUAUAACAACUCUGCAUUCUUUUUUGGGGUUAACAUCAGUGCUAGCCCGGAACUAGUGCUUCUCGGUGGUUUCGAUCCUUUUCGACAGCUGGCCAAUCUGUGACUCCAAUGAUUUGAAGCUUGCUUGAUUACUAUUUAACUGGGAUUCAUAAUUUUUAAAGAAUUUAUCAAAUCUUCCACUUAACUCUCUGACUAUCUCAGUUAAACUGUUCACCUGCUACCAUAAGGGAGAGGGUUGUUGCUGCCGGAAGUUGCCCACUUGUCCAGAUGAAUUAUUCUGGCUCUGCCCAAUACUAGGGUGAUUUUUCCAAAUUUCCUGCUGAAAUUUCCUUGGUUGAAAUUUCCUUGCUUAUAUUGAAAUUGGGUUCCCAUAUAAUUAACAUCCUGCUGCGUCUCCU
rnacentral:lncRNA from 1 species